AAUUAAAAAGCGAUUCAUUUAAAGUAGUUAUUUUAAGAGUUAAAUAGAGAGCUUGUGGGUGGUGUAAACAAGUAAUUUUAUAAUAAUGAAUUACAGAUGAUGAUUUUAAUCGGAUUUUUCCGUUAUCAAGAAGAGGUAAUAAACUAUUAUUACGAAUAAAGGUGGUACCGCGAGCAAUUCGUCCUUUUU
rnacentral:ncRNA from 1 species